rnacentral:rRNA from 1 species
GACGAACGCUGGCGGCGUGCUUAACACAUGCAAGUCGAGCGGUAAGGCCCUUCGGGGGUACACGAGCGGCGAACGGGUGAGUAACACGUGGGUGACCUGCCCUCAGCUCUGGGAUAAGCCUGGGAAACCGGGUCUAAUACCGGAUAUGACUCCAUGACGCAUGUUGUGGGGUGGAAAGCCUUGUGCGGCUGAGGAUGGGCCCGCGGCCUAUCAGCUUGUUGGUGGGGNGAUGGCCUACCAAGGCGACGACGGGUAGCCGGCCUGAGAGGGCGACCGGCCACACUGGGACUGAGACACGGCCCAGACUCCUACGGGAGGCAGCAGUGGGAAAUCUUGCGCAAUGGGCGAAAGCCUGACGCAGCGACGCCGCGUGAGGGAUGACGGCCUGGU